GCCAAGAUAGCUCAGUGGCAGAGCAGUCGUUUCAUAAGCGACCGGUCGUCGGUUCGAAUCCGACUCUUGGCA
rnacentral:tRNA from 1 species